rnacentral:rRNA from 1 species
UGGGGAAUAUUGCACAAUGGGGGAAACCCUGAUGCAGCGACGCCGCGUGAGCGAAGAAGGUUUUCGAAUCGUAAAGCUCUGUCCUAUGAGAAGAUAAUGACGGUAUCAUAGGAGGAAGCCCCGGCUAAAUACGUGCCAGCAGCCGCGGUAAUACGUAUGGGGCGAGCGUUGUCCGGAAUUAUUGGGCGUAAAGGGUACGUAGGCGGUCUAUUAAGUCAGGUGUGAAGGCGUGAGGCUUAACCUCAUUAAGCACUUGAAACUGAUAGACUUGAGUGAAGGAGAGGAAAGUGGAAUUCCUAGUGUAGCGGUGAAAUGCGUAGAUAUUAGGAGGAAUACCGGUGGCGAAGGCGACUUUCUGGACUUUUACUGACGCUCAGGUACGAAAGCGUGGGGAGCAAACAGG